rnacentral:lncRNA from 1 species
UUCCAGGUGGGAAAUGGAUCAACGUUUGUAGAUAAGGUGAAGAAUGCACAACUUCAGGAUGAAGACUGCGAAAAGAUAAAAACAAAGAGUAUCUGAAGGUGAGGAAAACAAAUUUAAAAUCGAUUCGGAAGGAUUACUUCGAUUCGAAGGGAGAAUUUGGGUUCCGCCAGUACUAGAAGUUAAAGAGGAAAUUCUGAGUGAAGGUAAUAAC